AACGAACGCUGGCGGCAUGCCUAACACAUGCAAGUCGAACGAAGUCUUCGGACUUAGUGGCGCACGGGUGCGUAACGCGUGGGAAUCUGCCCUUGGGUACGGAAUAACUCAGAGAAAUUUGUGCUAAUACCGUAUAAUGUCGUAAGACCAAAGAUUUAUCGCCCAAGGAUGAGCCCGCGUAAGAUUAGCUAGUUGGUAGGGUAAAAGCCUACCAAGGCGACGAUCUUUAGCUGGUCUGAGAGGAUGAUCAGCCACACUGGGACUGAGACACGGCCCAGACUCCUACGGGAGGCAGCAGUGGGGAAUAUUGGACAAUGGGCGAAAGCCUGAUCCAGCAAUGCCGCGUGAGUGAUGAAGGCCCUAGGGUUGUAAAGCUCUUUUACCCGGGAUGAUAAUGACAGUACCGGGAGAAUAAGCUCCGGCUAACUCCGUGCCAGCAGCCGCGGUAAAGUACAGUGU
rnacentral:rRNA from 1 species